UUGGGGGGCAAGUCUGGUGCCAGCAGCCGCGGUAAUUCCAGCUCCAAUAGCGUAUAUUAAAGUUGUUGCAGUUAAAAGGCUCGUAGUUGAAUUUCGGGGUCAGUAGGUUGGUCAUGCCACUGGUAUGUACUGGUCUCACUGAUUCCUCCUUCCUGAUGAACUGUAAUGCCAUUAAUUUGGUGUUGCAGGGAAUCUGGACUGUUACUUUGAAAAAAUUAGAGUGUUUAAAGCAGGCUAACGCCUGAAUACAUUAGCAUGGAAUAAUGAAAUAGGACGUUCGAUCCUAUUUUGUUGGUUUCUAGGAUUGACGUAAUGAUUAAUAGGGAUAGUUGGGGGCAUUAGUACUCAAUUGUCGGAGGUGAAAUUCUUGGAUUUAUUGAAGACUAACUACUGCGAAAGCAUUUGCCAAGGAUGUUUUCAUUAAUCAAGAACGAAAGUUAGGGGAUCGAAGACGAUCAGAUACCGUCGUAGUCUUAACCAUAAACUAUGCCGACUAGGGAUCGGAUGAUGUUAAUUUUUUAAUGACUCAUUCGGCGCCUUACGGGAAAC
rnacentral:rRNA from 1 species